GACGAACGCUGGCGGCGUGCUUAACACAUGCAAGUCGAACGGAAAGGCCCUGCUUUUGUGGGGUGCUCGAGUGGCGAACGGGUGAGUAACACGUGAGUAACCUGCCCUUGACUUUGGGAUAACUUCAGGAAACUGGGGCUAAUACCGGAUAAGAGCUCCUGCUGCAUGGGGGGGGUUGGAAAGUUUCGGCGGUUGGGGAUGGACUCGCGGCUUAUCAGCUUGUGGGUGGGGUAGUGGCUUACCAAGGCUUUGACGGGUAGCCGGCCUGAGAGGGUGACCGGCCACAUUGGGACUGAGAUACGGCCCAGACUCCUACGGGAGGCAGCAGUGGGGAAUAUUGCACAAUGGGCGGAAGCCUGAUGCAGCAACGCCGCGUGCGGGAUGACGGCCUUCGGGUUGUAAACCGCUUUCGCCUGUGACGAAGCGUGAGUGACGGUAAUGGGUAAAGAAGCACCGGCUAACUACGUG
rnacentral:rRNA from 1 species